rnacentral:rRNA from 1 species
GACGAACGCUGGCGGCGUGCUUAACACAUGCAAGUCGAACGGAAAGGCCCUGCUUUUGUGGGGUGCUCGAGUGGCGAACGGGUGAGUAACACGUGAGUAACCUGCCCUUUACUUUGGGAUAACUUCAGGAAACUGGGGCUAAUACCGUAUAGGAUCUCCUGCUGCAUGGUGGGGGUUGGAAAGUUUCGGCGGUUGGGGAUGGACUCGCGGCUUAUCAGCUUGUUGGUGGGGUAGUGGCUUACCAAGGCUUUGACGGGUAGCCGGCCUGAGAGGAUGACCGGCCACAUUGGGACUGAGAUACGGACCAGACUCCUACGGGAGGCAGCAGUGGGGAAUAUUGCACAAUGGGCGGAAGCCUGAUGCAGCAACGCCGCGUGCGGGAUGACGGCCUUCGGGUUGUAAACCGCUUUCGCCUGUGACGAAGCGUGAGUGACGGUAAUGGGUAAAGAAGCACCGGCUAACUACGUG